UUUCAUUCCGAUGGAAAUGUAAAAUAUUGAUAAAAAUUUUCUUGAUUUAAAUUUUAUUUUCAGGUUUAGUCUUCUUCGUCGGCUCCUUUUGUUGCUUGUGUUGCACAACGAUCAAAAGUUUGGACGUUUUGCAAAUGUAAUUUUCUAUUUUAAUAAUAAAUCUAAUUUUUACAUUCAAAAAAUAUUUUACGUAUAAAUUAAUGUUUCAUAUAACUUAACUGAACUUAACUGUAUGCUAGCGCAUAUGGUAAGAGAUAAGGAAUUAGUGCCAUCUUUAGAGUGCCGUAAAUGAAACCAUAGGUAAAGAGAAGAAAUAGUGCGAGAAGGAUAGAGAUAAGGAUUCCAAGCAACAACAAUUAUAAUAUACAUACAUAAUAUUUUAAUUUUUCGCGCGUUUUUGAAUGGAAAAAUAAGCAUCAUGCGCCAGCCAAUCAGAACGUCGCUUAAUUCUUGGCGCGAGACGAACCAGUGCGCAUCACACUGCGCAUCAUACUGCGCAUGGCGUUAGUCUACAGUUGAAAAUUGUGUGGAGUGGACGUGUCGUCGCGAAUUCGGAUUAUUAGGUUUAAUUGGUAGCGUCAUGAUGGUAGCUCUCGGGAAGGCGGGAAAAAUUCCAAUAUGGACGCCUUUCUUGAUGUGGUAAAAUUUUAUAUUUCGUAUGAAUUGAAGAAAAUAAACAGGAAAAAAUAGAUAGCAAAUAACGUGAGAUCUCUUCAUUUGUUGAAAAUUAAUUACUUUUGUUAUUGAAUUUCACUAAUUCUGUUAUUUCACUAAGUCUGUUUCAGGUAUCCUCUUCACCUUUCAACGAAAUGGAUUACAUUUCAUCAUCAGAUAAAUAUUCUAAUUUUUAUAUUAGGUAGGGUAGGUUGUAAAAAACAUGGGAUUUAUAAACUGUGUUUUGUUCUUCUUUUUAUUAAAAAAGGCAAUUUCGCCUUUCCUACUCUGUUUCGUUUUCCAAACCAAUAGUUUUCCUAUUUUUCAAGGCAAUAUGAUCAUCCUGCCAUCCUUAACUUCCUCCUUAUAAGCAAAUACUUGAUACUUGAUAGUUAUGUGACUUUGUCCACUAGCUAUCAUAUCAUUGAUGUAUCCUGAUUUGCAUUUUCCUCUUGCCACAUGUAGUUUAUCUCGUAUCAAAUUUUGUGUAUCGUCAGUGUGAAUGUAGAUAUUGUUAUGAAGAGUAUUUGUUAGAUUUUCAAUAAAGAGAAUUACAAACAAAAUGUUUAAUUUUUAUAUUAGGGAAGAGAGGGAGAAAUGUUUUUUAGAAUAAGUAAAAUGUUGAUGUUGUACUUUUAAUUUAAGUUUGUUUCAGGAUUUUCUUGCAGGGGAAGAAGAUUUUGUUGAAGAUGAUAUUGAUUAAAAAGAAAACGUUUUUAAAAUCAAGUACAUGUACAAUCAAGAUACUACUUUAUUAAAUAAAGUAGUAUGUUGUAGAAAAGUAGAUACUGUAGUUAAGUAGAUGGGUGUAGUGCUUUUUGGGAUGCUUAUUUCGCUUAUUUUUUUUGUUUUUUUUUUUUUGCUCGCGCUUUUUACUAUCAAUCAUUUUUCAUUUUCAUUCCGAUGGAAAUGUAAAAUAUUGAUAAAAAUUUUCUUGAUUUAAAUUUUAUUUUCAGGUUUAGUCUUCUUCGUCGGCUCCUUUUGUUGCUUGUGUUGCACAACGAUCAAAAGUUUGGACGUUUUGCAAAUGUAAUUUUCUAUUUUAAUAAUAAAUCUAAUUUUUACAUUCAAAAAAUAUUUUACGUAUAAAUUAAUGUUUCAUAUAACUUAACUGAACUUAACUGUAUGCUAGCGCAUAUGGUAAGAGAUAAGGAAUUAGUGCCAUCUUUAGAGUGCCGUAAAUGAAACCAUAGGUAAAGAGAAGAAAUAGUGCGAGAAGGAUAGAGAUAAGGAUUCCAAGCAACAACAAUUAUAAUAUACAUACAUAAUAUUUUAAUUUUUCGCGCGUUUUUGAAUGGAAAAAUAAGCAUCAUGCGCCAGCCAAUCAGAACGUCGCUUAAUUCUUGGCGCGAGACGAACCAGUGCGCAUCACACUGCGCAUCAUACUGCGCAUGGCGUUAGUCUACAGUUGAAAAUUGUGUGGAGUGGACGUGUCGUCGCGAAUUCGGAUUAUUAGGUUUAAUUGGUAGCGUCAUGAUGGUAGCUCUCGGGAAGGCGGGAAAAAUUCCAAUAUGGACGCCUUUCUUGAUGUGGUAAAAUUUUAUAUUUCGUAUGUAUAAAUUUUUAUUCUGUUUUAUAGGAUUAUUAGUGAUUGUUGUUAAGCAAUUCAUAAUAAAAUUACGUUUUGGUUAAAAGAAAGCGAAAAAAAUUAGAAAUUUAUGAAGCACUUUCAUGAUUUAUACAUAAUUUAGCAAUAUUUUCAGAACAAAUGUACGAUAGAAAGAAGAAGAGUAAUAUCAAAAAGAUAUUGUUUCUUCUUUUAUCUCUUUCCCAUCCCACUAAUUUAAUAUUAAUUUCAGAAAAUAUUUGUGACCGCGCGCAAUGCGGUUAAUAGAAUCAGUGUUUGCUUCGUCAUAGUAUUUUUAAUAUUUUUUAGAGCACAAUAGCUCUGAUUAAAUUUAAUUAGAAUAAUCAAACGCGAAGAUAGAAUCAGUGUUUGUUCGCCGAUUAUAUUAUAAUUUAUACGGACGCGUUGUUAGUUUCUUAUUUUUAUUUUUUUCUUUUUAUAAAUAUUCGUUUUCGGUACAGAGUAGAGUCAGUGCUUCUCUCAAGAGAAUACGGCGAUCAUCCACCACGCGAAGAGAUGCUGAUGAAAGUUUUUCUUGGACUUUAGUCUUAAAAAAUAUUUGUGACCACGCGCAAUGUGGUUAAGUAGAAUCAGUGUUGCUUCGUCAUAGUAUUUUUAAUAUUUUUUAGAGCACAAUAGCUCUGAUUAAAUUUAAUUAGAAUAAUCAAACGCGAAGGUAGAAUCAGUGUUUGUUCGCCGAUUAUAUUAUAAUUUAUACGGACGCGUUAUUAGU